GACGAACGCUGGCGGCGUGCUUAACACAUGCAAGUCGAACGGAAAGGCCCUGCUCUUGUGGGUCUCUCGAUUGGCGAACGGGUGAGAGACACGCGUGUAUCCCGUCCCUGAAUGUGUGAUAACUCCUGGAAACUGCGGCUCUUAUCGGAUAUGAUCUCUUGCUGCGUGUGGGGGGAUGGUAAAAUUCGGCGGUGGGGGAUCGACUCGCUGCUUAUCAGCUGGAUGGUGGGGUAGUUGCUUACCAAGGUUUUGACGGGUAGCCUGCCUGGGAGGGUGACCAGCCACAUUGGGACUACGGUACGGCCCAGACUGCUACGGGACGCAACGGUGGAGAGUCUUGCACAGUGGGCGGGAGUCUAAUGCGGCAACGCCGCGUGCGGGAUACCCUCCUUCGGGUUGUAAACAACCUUUGAAUGAGCUGAAGAGUGAGUGACGGUAAUGAGUAAAGAAGCACCGGCUAACUACGUG
rnacentral:rRNA from 1 species